rnacentral:rRNA from 1 species
CUCCUACGGGAGGCAGCAGUGAGGAAUAUUGGUCAAUGGGCGGAAGCCUGAACCAGCCAAGUAGCGUGAGGGAAGACUGCCCUACGGGUUGUAAACCUCUUUUGUUUGGGAAUAAAGUGCGGGACGCGUCCCGCAUUGCAUGUACCAUUUGAAUAAGGACCGGCUAAUUCCGUGCCAGCAGCCGCGGUAAUACGGAAGGUCCGGGCGUUAUCCGGAUUUAUUGGGUUUAAAGGGAGCGUAGGCCGGAGAUUAAGCGUGUUGUGAAAUGUAGGUGCUCAACAUCUGCACUGCAGCGCGAACUGGUUUCCUUGAGUACGCACAAAGUGGGCGGAAUUCGUGGUGUAGCGGUGAAAUGCUUAGAUAUCACGAAGAACUCCGAUUGCGAAGGCAGCUCACUGGAGCGCAACUGACGCUGAAGCUCGAAAGUGCGGGUAUCGAACAGGAUUAGAUACCCUGGUAGUCCGCACGGUAAACGAUGGAUGCCCGCUGUUGGUCUGAAUAGGUCAGCGGCCAAGCGAAAGCAUUAAGCAUCCCACCUGGGA